rnacentral:rRNA from 12 species
GCUAAAAACUACGAUGCCCAGUAGUCUGAUUUUAGAAGCUAAGCAGGGCAGGGCGUGGUUAGUACUUGGAUAGACGACUGCCUUGGAAGACCAGGGGCUGUCAGCU